rnacentral:lncRNA from 1 species
CACCAAAGGAUGAGGAUGAAGAAGUGACUCUGAUGAGCUUGCAGCAAGCCCUAGCAGGGCAAGCCCCAGCCCCAAGGAUCUGCACCCCGCACCCGGUGGGCCCAGCGUGGGAGAGGCCGGGAGCAGCAGUGGGUACCUGUGCCCAGGAAAAGCACCUCAUAGCGCCCGUCGGCUGCAUCCACCUGGUCCACGGCAAUAGUGCCAGAGCACCCUGCCUGCCUGCUGGGCACUCACGGAGCUCAUCAAAGUGAGUCUCAAUGCCAUCCUCGCCCGGGACAGAGCAGACGAGCCGCGCCUUCAGGAAUGUGCUCCACUUGUUGACCAGGCAACAGUGACCACCGUCAUCGUUCUGGGGGGUGGGGCAAGAGGCCGGGUCAGAUCAGCUCUUGACCCCAAGCCCUGGCUGGAGCAGGGCUGAUGAAGCCAGAACUGGUGGAAGGGGCAGCCUGGUGGCUCUGCCAAUGCAUACCAGGCAAAUGCGCCCGAUGCGGGCGUACACCGCGGGGCUCUGCGGCGCCUCUGCCGACCGCUCACGGAAGAAGAAGUAAAGCUUAUCAUCAUUGCGCUCCGCACUGUCAGGAAUGAGCUCAGCAUGGAUGAACGACGGGUCUGCAGGUGGCAGGGGUCAGCUGGGUGAGCCCCUACUCUGAUGGUGCCCCUGAUGUUCUCCAACAGAAUCCCCAGCCAGGUGCAAGAACACCCCCAACUCCUCUCCAGAUAAGAAACUACCCCUGCCCCAGGUAGUCAUAGGCUAAACAUGUCCCCACUUCCCCCACAUGUGCUUCUUUACGACCUCCUUGCCGCAUCCCAGACACAUGGCCACGGAAGGGCUCCUGGGGCUGCGCUUACCGUUCAGCCACCGGGAGUUGUACUGAUCCGUGCGCAUGGCUGUCUGCUUUCCAAGUGUGCGGAAGAUGGCUGCAUCAGUGCCCAUAAAAUCGAUGUACACACCAGCAUAGAGCUCCUCAUCUGUGGGUAGGCCAGUGGGUCAGUUGGGGGGCUGCUGUUUGCUAGGGCCAGGGCACAGCUCAGAUGACUUCCAGGGCAGGGCCUUAUCUCCCCGCUCAGGCUCCCUGGGGCAUGAUCCUAUCUCCAGUGGAGUGCUGGUCAGUGUUUCACCACUGGCUCUGGGAGGGUUGGGAUUAGUAACUAUCAGCUCUGAUUAGUAGCAAUAGCCCAUUUCUGUGGUGUGAAUACUCCUGCCACAACUAAUUUCAAGCUACCAACCUGAGGUCACUGAAAGCAAAAUCAGGAAGAGCUGCCAACACCACUGUACAGUAUUUCUACCCCACAGACACAACAAAUGUAAAUCACCUCAAGAGCAUAGCUAAUAGACCAGCUGCAGUGGCUCAUGCCUAUAAUCCCAGCACUUUGGGAGGCCCAGGUGGGUGGAUCAUUUGAGGGCAGGAGCUGGAAGCCAGCCUGGCCAAGAUGGUGAAACCCUACCUAUACUAAAAUACAGAAAUUUUCUGGGCAUGGUGGCAGGUGCCUGUAAUCCCAGCUACACGGGAGGCUGAGGCAGGAGAAUUGCUUGAACCAGGGAGGCGGAGGUUGCAGUGAGCGAGAUCAUGCCACUGCACUCCAGCCUGGGCAACAGAGCAAGGCUCCAUCUUAAAAAAAAAAAAAGAGGCCGGGCAUGGUGGCUUAUGCCUCCUGUAAUCCCAGCACUUUGGGAGGCCAAGGCUGGCAGAUCAUGAGGUCAAGAGAUCGAGACCAUCCUGGCCAAUGUGGUGAAACCCUGUUUCUACUAAAAAUACAAAAAAAUUAGCUGAGCGUGGUGGUGCACGCAUGUAGUCCCAGCUACUCAGGAGGCUGAGGCAGGAAGAUCCCUUAAACCUGGGAGGCGGAAGUUGUAGUGAGCCGAGAUCGCACCACUGCACUCCAGCCUGGUGACACAGUGAGACAACCGUCUCAAAAAGCAGGAACAAAAAUAAAAAAAAAAAACACAAAAAAACAAAAAAAGAGCAUAGCUAACAAUAAAGUGUAGUGAAAGAAUUAGGAAGCAUAUGCACACCUCAGUUUACUGGGCUUUGUGCACUGCAAAUACUGCAUUUUUUACAGAAGGAAGGUUUGUGGCAACCCUGUGUCAAGCAAGUCUGUUAGCACCAUUUUUUCAACAGCAUAUGCUUACUUUGUGUCUCUGUGUCUGUGUCACAGUUUGGUAAUUCUUCUUUUUUUUUUUUUUUGAGAUGGAGUCUUGCUCUGUCACCCAGGCUAGAGUGCAGUGGCACCAUCUCAGCUCACUACAACCUCCACCUCCCAGGCUCAAGCAACUCUCUUGCCUCAGCCUCCCAAGUAGCUGGGACUACAGGUGCCCACCACUACAUCUGGCUAAUUUUUGUAUUUUUAGUAGAGACGGGGUUUCACCAUGUUGGCCAGGCUGGUCUCGAACUCCUGACCUCAGGUGAUCCACCUGCCUCGGCCUCCCAAAGGGCUGGGAUUACAGGCAUGAGCCACCGCGCCUUGCCUACAUUUUGGUGAUUCUUGCAAUAUUUCAAACUGUCUGUUAUGGUGAUCUGUGAUCAGUGAUCUUUGAUGUUACUAUUGCAAUUAUUUCGGGGCACCGUGAACCUCACCCAUAUAAAACAGUGAACUUAAUCGAUAAAUGCUGUGUGUGUUCUGACUGCUCCACUUA